ensembl:lncRNA
GAUGAAGACUACCUGAUAAACAACAAAACCUCCAGACUUCACCAGUCCUCAGUCUGGGACAGCAGAAGAAUUAGAUGUCACACACAAACAACAAUGGCCCCAAAAUUUCACCCUGUGGGACAAGCUGCAAUAAUGAACAGGCUUCUUAUAUGACAUUUUGAGAGCUCAUCUACAGAUGUCUAUGAGGUCAUAUGUUGGCAUCCUCAGCACAGAUGUCUCGUGAUUUAGCCCCAGGUUCAGAGGUAAGGCAGACGGUGAAGGCUCACUUGUUGGCAUCUCAGAAGCUCCUGGUGGAUUCCAUGUAUAAUCUGGCCCCGCUGCUGGACUGCAUGCUGUCCACUGAGCUUUUGUCCCAGGAUAACUACCACGAGAUAAAGGCUGAAAAGACCCCGCAAAACAGGGCCCGCAAACUACUGGAGAUUGUCCAAGCUCAGAUGGACGAAAGCGAGGCCAGGCGCUUUCUGGAGUGUCUGAAAGAAUGCAAGCAGCAAUACCCACGACUGCGCAACUGGCUCUCAUCUGAAACAGGAAUCCUGAGUGGACAAACAGAUAUGUCUUUCCAGACUGGAAGCUCUUCCACUGAGCGAAGGUUACAGGCGCAGUUUUAUUCUCUGUGUGGUCGCCUGGGCUCCUCCGUGCUCCCCAUCUCUCUGGCCCUCUUCUCCAGCAGCACCCUGACCCAGUUUGACCUUGAGCGGAUUCAAGCUGCUCCAACCCCAACCCAGCAGACUCAGACCCUGUUGUGUAUUUGUCUGACUAAAGGAGAGAGUGCAUGCAGGAGCUUCUAUGAGGCUCUACACAAUGAGGACGAGCAGUUAGCAGAGGAUAUGAAUGUAACUAGUAUGGUGGAGGGUCUUUCCAUUAGCAGUAAAGCCAGGUCUGAAUCCAGCAAUGUUCCCAUAGCAGUGGAGGAGACCAGAGAUACAGCAGAAGGACAUCUGCCUUACUCAGGAGUGCUACGUAAAGUCAAGGCACAGCUGAGUGUAGGUGAGGGAGAUGAAGCCAGAUUGAACAUCUGCGAGUUGGGGGUGGCAGUGGGGCUGCCUCGCCGGACCACCAAAGAAAGUCUUCUGGAGGGAGUGGGCAUAGAGGACUCCUCUCAGCUUGAGGCCCUGGUGUCACUCUUUAUGGAGAAAACCCAGGAUGCUGAUCGACUCGUCAGCAGAGUGGCAGAACUGGACAUUCAAAAGGUUCGGCUCUCUGAGAGGGGCUGCUUAUCCCUGAAGUUGCUCCAGGAGGCUGAAGCUAUCCUGCGCAGCGGCUGCCACAGCCACUUGCACAAGUGGGACCAUCUACAUGAUCAAGAUCACCUGCAUGGGCUGGACCAGCUGCAUGUAACAGACUGCAGGGAACAGUGCAGGGUGUGGACAGUCUUUAGCUUUCUGCUGUGGGACUGCCUGGUUGAAGCUCUGGAGGAGCCUGAGCUAAAGCCCAGUGGUGACAGUAAGGGCCGUAGCCUGACUGGUGCACUGCAGUGUCUGCGGGGUUGUGAGAGAGUGGAGGCAGAUCUACUACAGGAGCUGGAGCUGUGCUGGGAGGAAGGAGGGGCUGAGAACCUUUUACAAAGCAUCAGAGUUCUGGCCCAGAUCCUGAGAGACCUGUACCCUUUUCAAGAUCAUUUCAAGCUUUCAGGACCUUCUGUGGAAGGACUGUACAGCUGUCGGUUUAGUAGGAUCCACAGGGUCACUUCAUUCCAGGGCAUUUCAGCCAGGAUGAUCAAGAAAGCCCUGAACAGUGUUGGCCCUGUCUCAUCACACAGAGACUUGACACAUCGAGCUCAACAGUACAGGGAUUUGUGUCUUCAAAUUGCACGAUUGCUAAAUACGGUACAGCUAGAACGAAGCUCUGGUGAACUCACGAAUGCACCUAUUACAAAUAUCAUCCAGCACAUCUGUCUUACACUUUCAAAACCGUCUUUUAACUCUAGAGCCUUUAACGCAGGAAUUCGUCACCGCUUACUCACUCUAACAGAGUUUAUUCCUACACAGCUGUGCCUGGGCACCCUGAUGCAGCUGCAUCAGGAGACCCUGUCAGAACUUCAGCUCUACCUUCAGCGAGGAGAGCACCACAACUUCCAGUUUGACCCCCAAUCUGUUCAAAUUCUCGGACCGGCGCGUCUGCUUUCAGUCAGCAGUGCCCGGGGACCAACAGCCAUCGACAACGGGGUGGAGGAGGACUUCCGUUUCGUAGCGUCUGAGGCAACUUCCUUCCUGGUGCGGCUUCGCUGUCUUGGCUAUGAGGAAAUUAAAGGGUUCUUCGAGGUUAGUGAGCCACGCUGUUUCUUGGCCUCACAGCUAGGGGAGAAUGGACAUCAUGCCAUUCGCUGGCUAGGAGACGUUCUGGCAGAGGAAGAAAACAAAAUAUGGAUAAGAGAAGGAGGCACAGGAUGGAGGGAAGAACUGGAGACUGUGGCAAGAAGACAUUCCAUUCAGCUCUGCAAUGAGGGCUGCCUCUUCAGGGUCACGACCUCCCAGGAAGAGUGUGAGGUCAAGUUCAUGUACAGGGCUGGUAGGCUAUGGGCUACAGCACAGAAGGACUGUGAAGUGCUUUGAGAUUGGGAAAUUUUAAGCAGUGAUGUGAUAGUCAUUUUCAAAUUACACACCAUAAUGUGGCCUCCUUUACACAUUUAAAAAAAAAAACACCCUACUCCAUGCAGAUAUUUUUCCUGAAAUUGGGCCAAUAUGUGUGUUAACACGCACUCAAUAACAAAAUAUAUUUUUAUGCAUCUGAGUAUUCCAGAAGUCAGUCAAACAACAUACCCUCAUUUCUUAGGCCUAGAUUUGAGUGCUGGAGUUUAGACUACUCAUAUGCAAAUGAAAUGUAGCCAGAUACUUAUCAAAAAAUAAAGCAUGUUUCUGUCUGAAGGGCA